rnacentral:rRNA from 1 species
GACAGAGGGUGCAAACGUUGUUCGGAAUUACUGGGCGUAAAGCGCGUGUAGGCGGCUCUGCAAGUCGGAUGUGAAAGCCCUGGGCUCAACCUAGGAAGUGCACUCGAAACUGCAGAGCUUGAGUCUCGGAGAGGAUCGCGGAAUUCUCGGUGUAGAGGUGAAAUUCGUAGAUAUCGAGAGGAACACCGGUGGCGAAGGCGGCGAUCUGGACGAUGACUGACGCUGAGGAGCGAAAGCGUGGGGAGCGAACAGG